rnacentral:lncRNA from 1 species
ACGAAUAUGCCGCAUUGCAUCGAUUGUUGUUGAUGUGGGUGAAUGUUGGAUGACCCAAUUAGUCCAUGACAGGAAGACCAGGACCCCAUUCUACGGCCUGGCACAGAGUAAGGAAAGACCAGGACCCCAUUCUACGGCCUGGCACGGUUAUGGGACUCGAAGACUAGGAGCCCAGAGGAGGCCCUGGGGCAAUGGUAAAUAAUGUAUGU